UACUAGGGUGCCCGUUAUAGCGGGGUGUCCGUAAUAACGAGGUGUCCGUAAUAGCUGGGUGUCCGUAAUAGUAGGGUGCCCGUUAUAGCGGUGCCCGAAAAAGCGGGGUGCCCGUAAUAGCAGGGUGUCCGUGAAACAGUCAUGUAGCAGCCCGCUUAUAAGGCCUAACAGGAUUGGCUGGAUUACCUCAUUGUUCUAUUGUAUUCCCGUUCUAUUGUUUUGUUUCCCAUUGUUUUGUCUGUGGUGUAUCAAUCCCAUCAGGUGAAAUCUUUUGAGAGCUGCUACACACGACCCCCGUGUAAACGAGGUGUCCGUAAUAACGAGGUGUCUGUAAUAACGAGGUGUCUGUAAUAACGAGGUGUCUGUAAUAACGAGGUGUCUGUAAUAACGAGGUGUCUGUAAUAACGAGGUGUCUUUUAGGCGAGAGUUGACUUAAACGCAAGCAGACGCCAGUGACCAAACGAAACGCCAAGUCUUCCGGCGUUUUGCCUGAGCCACACAUGAAGCACAUGAUAUGUAAAUAUCUAAUAACAUUCCAAGAAAUCAGACAGUUUUCAUGGAAAUUCAUUUAUUGGUACUCUGUGCUUAAUACUAGCUGUUAUAGAUUUUACACAACUUUACUCAGUUCUUUACAACUAAUAUCUAACUACAUUUUAAUUAAAUACUUCUUGGAAAACAGUGAUUAUAAAAUGGAUGCAAUUCUAUUACUGUUAUGUGACACCUUAGCGUGAAUUCAUCUUAGAAAUAUUUCUAGGAAUUGGAUUCUUUAAAACAUAUAACAACCAAAAUAGAAACCAAAUCAAUAGCUGUCUUGAUGCUUUUAUGUAAUUCAUUUGCUUAUUGCUUAAAUAGUUAUAAUAAAUACCAUAUUUAUA